rnacentral:rRNA from 1 species
GACAGCAGUCGCCGCGGGAAUACAGAGGGUGCGAGCGUUAAUCGGAUUUACUGGGCGUAAAGCGUGCGUAGGCGGCUUUUUAAGUCGGAUGUGAAAUCCCUGAGCUUAACUUAGGAAUUGCAUUCGAUACUGGGAAGCUAGAGUAUGGGAGAGGAUGGUAGAAUUCCAGGUGUAGCGGUGAAAUGCGUAGAGAUCUGGAGGAAUACCGAUGGCGAAGGCAGCCAUCUGGCCUAAUACUGACGCUGAGGUACGAAAGCAUGGGGAGCAAACAGGAUUAGAUACCCCGGUAGUCCCUGUCUCUUAUAA